UUUUAUGGAGAGUUUGAUCCUGGCUCAGAGUGAACGCUGGCGGCGUGCCUAAUACAUGCAAGUCGAACGAUGAAGCUUCUAGCUUGCUAGAAGUGGAUUAGUGGCGCACGGGUGAGUAAGGUAUAGUUAAUCUGCCCUACACAAGAGGACAACAGUUGGAAACGACUGCUA
rnacentral:rRNA from 2 species